rnacentral:lncRNA from 1 species
CGAGGUUUGGAUGCUGCUCAUAGUGGUGAGUUUAUAGAUGAACUCAGCAAUGAUAGCACAAUUGGGUAACAAAUUAUUAAUUUAAUCAUCCCUACAACUUCGCGGGAGUAACUUUUCACUAUCUCGGCACUAUAUAAUUUGAUUUUUAAAGAUACAAAGGUAAGUUUAGAAGAUAUGACAAAAUAUUUCCACAUCACUCGUAUUGAUUUUCUCAUCUAUCUAAAUCCUCAUAUACUGAUGUUUGCUGUAACAGUCUUACAAUAGUCAUUGGAAGGACUCAAAAUGUGAAUGCAACUAUGUAUUUUGGAUGCAAAUUAUUUUUGGACCAUUUUUGGAGUCUUCUGUCCCUUUUGACACCUGAAAUAAUAUACUCCUACACGUGUAAUUCAAGCAUUAAACAUGACUUUGCAUCACACACAGUGUGUACUUUCUUCAUAGCCUAAUAUUCUGAUAUAUCUGUCAAGGGCCUCUAAGUUUUAGUUUCGCCCUGGGCCCCCAAAUCUUAGGACCGGCCCUGCGUGGUGCACGUGUACUCAAGGCAAUGUUGAAGGUAAUAUUUCACCGAAGGUAAUAUUGUGAUGCAGUACAGCUAGUCAGAUAUAGUAAAUUCAGAGAUUGCUUUUAAAACAUCAGAUUUAAAAGCUAAAGUAGAGGAGAAAUAACUAUGUCAGCUAGUGUAGACAAUUUCAUAUUCUUAGACCAAGUUAGCUAUAACUGUGAAAACAUUCUAUAGAGUAAACCAUUGGAAAUUUGUACUCAAAAUUUAGCUAAGUAAAAUCAAUCUUCAGAAAAUAUUAGAGGGUAUGGACAUUAGCGAGUGUAUUCGUAUUUGUGCUUUUGCUAAUAGUUUUCUGGGAAGAAAAUGAUAAUAAUCUGGACACCACCAACCAUUACACUUAAGGGAUACAUUUUCCAUUUCCCAUUGACCCAUCUACAUAAGCCAUUCAUCUAGAGAAUAUUUUUGUGUAUAAUUAUUCAUCUAUGGAAGCAAUGUAAUUAUUUUGAAAAUCCAUUGUAAAUUAUGCUCUAGAUGUAUGGCGUGUUUUAGUUUUUACUCAUAAUUUGUCCCGACAUCUAAAAUAGGUUGAUAGACAUUCUUUUAUUUUUACUGAUAUGUAUUGUUGUUAUACAAACAGGGAAGUUAAAUUUUUCGUUGAAAGCAAGGUAUUACUAUGACCAUGAAGUACACCCAUUUUUGUUGGAUGGCUGUUUGAAUGUUGGGCAAAUUUUGCUCGUUCAUGUACGUGUGCUAUGUACAAGGGGGCUAGGCUUUGUAAUAUAUUUCCUUGUAGGUAAGAAGAUUUUUUUAGCAUUAUGUUGAUUGAUUUUCUAAUAGCAUAGUUAUAUUCGAGAACUUAUUGUAUGUCUGUACAACACACGUGAUAAUGGGAAGUGUCUUCUUUUUUGCGAAGAGAUGGCAAGUUUCCUUCCAUGUGUUUUGUUUUGCACUUCUCAAUCAUAGGCUUCGUUUGAUAAACUUUGUUUGAUCACAUCCAUUCUUUUUAGCUCUUUUAUUGUUACAUCUAUGCCAUUUGUUUUGUAUCGUUUUAUAAUUAUAUAAUAGAUUUUCAUGUUUACAUUUGUUGCAGUUCCCUUGUUUCUACUAUCUAUUCAUACCUACAAAUAUCAAAUUGUUUUGUAAAUAUGCUAGGUAUGAUUGUGUACUCGGCUACUUGGUGCUGCCAUCACAAUUUGGAUGACGUGAUAGUUUCCAUCAAGGUUUCCAUCACAAUUUGGAUGACGUGAUAGUUUCCCUCAAGGUUUCCAUCACAAUUUGGAUGACGUGAUAGUUUCCAUCAAGGUUUCCAUCGGGAGGGCCGACGACAAGAACUUCAAUAGUUUAAGUGUUUUGUUUGUUCGAACUGGAUUGCACUGUUUUCUAAAUUGUUGAGUGAUAUAUUUUUAUCAAUCUAGGUUGUAAAAUAUCAUUUCAUGGAUGAUUUUGUGAACUACUAUGUUGUAGAUACUUGCGGAUGACUACAUAUUGAUUCAUACGUGUACACAUGACACUUUGUAAAUACCUUUCCUUUGUCUAAAUUGUCACUACAAUUUGAGUAAUGCAUUAUGCUUAAAAAUGUACUUGGUGAAAAUUGGGUUGAAUGAAAU